rnacentral:tRNA from 1 species
CCCAGGAUGGUGUAAUGGUUUAAAUAUUGGACUACGACUCUGGAGAGCAGGGUUCGAAUCCCAGCUUGGUG